UACGGGGGGAGCAAGCGUUGUUCGGAUUUACUGGGCGUAAAGGGCGCGUAGGCGGCGUGACAAGUCACUUGUGAAAUCUCCGGGCUUAACUCGGAGCGGCCAAGUGAUACUGUCGUGCUAGAGUGCGGAAGAGGCGAGUGGAAUUCCUGGUGUAGCGGUGAAAUGCGCAGAUAUCAGGAGGAACACCUAUUGCGAAGGCAGCUCGCUGGGACGUAACUGACGCUGAGACGCGAAAGCGUGGGGAGCAAACAGG
rnacentral:rRNA from 1 species